rnacentral:rRNA from 1 species
UACGAAGGGGGCUAGCGUUGCUCGGAAUUACUGGGCGUAAAGGGCGCGUAGGCGGAUACUUAAGUUAGAGGUGAAAGCCCAGGGCUCAACCCUGGAACAGCCGUUAAUACUGGGUAUCUUGAGUUCGGGAGAGGUGAGUGGAACUCCGAGUGUAGAGGUGAAAUUCGUAGAUAUUCGGAAGAACACCAGUGGCGAAGGCGACUCACUGGCACGAGACUGACGCUGAGGCGCGAAAGCGUGGGGAGCAAACAGG